AUACAUUAAAGACAUUCACCUUAAAUAGAAGUGUAAGAAUCUUCUAUUUCAUAACAGUUAAUUUGUAUUUGUUUUACUUAUUGUCACAUUCUUACUUUAUUAUUUCAUGCUUUGUGUUCUAGUAUUAUAUUUAGGCCGGCCACACCUGGGUAAGUAAACCUUAGAUUUCUUAGUAUCGAGGCGAGAGAUCGUUCUUUUAGUUAAAUUUAUCCGGGGAAUGCCUCGAAGGAUUUGUAUAUAUUUUAUUCCGAGGAAUGCCCCGUAGUACUAUGUAACUGGAGGCCAUGGCAAACAUCGCAGAAAAAGUAGCAUAGGAUAAUUUAAAACUUUAAUUUUCCUUCUUUUUAAUUUUCUUAUUUAGUUGGGAACGACCUCGAGCCUCUUUGUGUGCUUAUUUUCAUUUUUCGUGUUUUCUACCUCACAUGAAUAUUUUAAAAGUCAACUAGAUCGAGUAUGCAACCGUGAAUUUCACGGGACUUGGAGAGUGCCUAACACCUUCUCCCCGAGUCAAAUGAAUCCUCUUACCCAAAUCUCUGGUGCGGACUUAGUUUAGAGUCCAACUGUUUUAAAAGGAAAAAUCAUUUAAAAAAAACGGUCACCUGGCACACCGAAAUCAAUGUCAGGUGGCGACUCUGAGUUUAUUUCCUUUUGAAACAAAUUUUUGUCUCCUUUUCAAUUGAAAAACCCUUUUCAAGCUUUUUACAAAAAUCCUUUUUAUUUAUUUAAAUGGGUUUAGUGAGAGUUUUUUAUAAAAAGGGUGUGACACGGUCUAGUGUAUAUAAAUUGUAUAGUGGCAAUUCAUUUAGUAUAUUUUUAUAUAGU
rnacentral:lncRNA from 1 species